rnacentral:rRNA from 1 species
UACGUAGGGCGCAAGCGUUGUCCGGAAUUAUUGGGCGUAAAGAGCUCGUAGGCGGUUUGUCGCGUCUGCUGUGAAAUCCCGAGGCUCAACCUCGGGCCUGCAGUGGGUACGGGCAGACUUGAGUGCGGUAGGGGAGAAUGGAAUUCCUGGUGUAGCGGUGGAAUGCGCAGAUAUCAGGAGGAACACCGAUGGCGAAGGCAGUUCUCUGGGCCGUAACUGACGCUGAGGAGCGAAAGCGUGGGGAGCGAACAGG